ensembl:lncRNA
UCCUCCCCAUCACUUUAUCUCUCUCCCUCCCUCCUUCUCCCCAUCACUCUCUCUCCCUCCCUCCUUCUCCAGAUCACUUUCUCUCUCUCCCUCCCUUCUUCUCCCCAUCUCUCUCUCUCUCUCUCUCUCUCUCUCUCUGAAUCUCUAUCCCUCCCUGUGUUCUAUCCUUUCCUUCCCUCAGAUGUUCCUCUGGUUGCUGUAGUUGUUGUCUCUGUCAGUCUGUUGGCUGCUGCAUUGAUGAUAAUUGUGAUGAUAUGCAAGAAAAGGACAAAUGCUGGAGGAGAGCCAAGAGACAAAUCAAUGGAGGAAGGAGCUGACCUGCACUAUGCAGCCUUUCAGCACCUCAACCCAACCCAAGCUGGGCCUUCUGCAAAGCAGUCUGAGGACACCGUGACCUACAGCACCCUCAUGCAGUUAUCUGGUGGUCAAGACCAGAACAGCAGCAGACCUGCUGGCAGACCAGCGGACCCCAAUACUAUGUAUGCUACUGUUCAGAAGAAUAACAAGAUACAGAAUUAACAGUCGUAUGAAUACGCAUACACGUACACAAACACACACAGACACGCAAACACACAUACUUAAACACACACAAACAAACACACACAGACAUACACACACACAUGUAUGCAGUCAUAAAAGCACCCAGUGAGACUGUAUGCUUAUUCUACAGUUGCUUGUGGUUGCAUGUAGUUGUAUGAAAGCUCUCUCACAGCUCUUGCUCUGGUUAGCACUCCUGACCCUUUUAGACUGGGGGUGUGAAAUGUGUGCCUAUUUUUC